rnacentral:lncRNA from 10 species
GUCUGCCCUAUAGAUCAUCCUGUACCAGAGAUCUACAGCAUAAUGGCCUGGAAGCAGUCUUUGUUUUGGAGCCAAGCCCAGCAAAGUCUCAAUUCCUUCCCCUUCAAUCGCCAUCUGGAUGAACAAGGCCAAGUCAUUGACCUUCUCUGGGCCUCAGUUUCCUCACCCAUAAACUGGAGCAAAGUCAUCUCCAAGACAGCAGGAACCAUGUUUACUCUUUAAUCAUUGUAUGCUCCCUAAAUAUUUGCUGAACAAGUGAACAAAAAACCUGGUGGUGGUGAAAUUAGACUCCUUCUUGGUGUCACCAGGAGGUCCAGUUAAACAUACCAAGACUUGAGGAAUUAUGUCCAAGGUUCCAGCAUUGAACAUGAAGAACGCAGGAUUUAUUGGCACGUCGUGAUAACCGUAAAGCCCACGCUUCUACUGCAGUGUUGAGUUUGCGUGCCAACAGGAAAGAAUUCUGCAUGGGAGUCAGAACAUUUGUAUUAAAGACCUGAUUUUACUGGGCAACAGAGCGAGACCUUGUCUCUACAAAAAAUAAACAAAACUAACCAGGCACAGUGGUGUGCACCUGUAGUCCCAGCUACUUGGGAGGCUGAGGCUAUUGGCAGGAGAUCUUCCCAGAAGAAAAAGAAUGGAGG